UACGUAGGGGGCUAGCGUUGUCCGGGAUCAUUGGGCGUAAAGGGCUCGUAGGCGGUUCGUCGCGUCUGCUGUGAAAACUCGGGGCUCAACCCCGAACUUGCAGUGGGUACGGGCAGACUAGAGUGUGGUAGGGGAGACUGGAAUUCCAGGUGUAGCGGUGAAAUGCGUAGAUAUCUGGAGGAACACCGGUGGCGAAGGCGGCAUCCUGGACCGGUAUUGACGCUGAGGCGCGAAAGCCAGGGGAGCAAACGGG
rnacentral:rRNA from 1 species